GACGAACGCUGGCGGCGUGCUUAACACAUGCAAGUCGAACGGAAAGGCCCUGCUUUUGUGGGGUGCUCGAGUGGCGAACGGGUGAGUAACACGUGAGUAACCUGCCCUUGACUUUGGGAUAACUUCAGGAAACUGGGGCUAAUACCGGAUAGGAGCUCCUGCUGCAUGGUGGGGGUUGGAAAGUUUCGGCGGUUGGGGAUGGACUCGCGGCUUAUCAGCUUGUUGGUGGGGUAGUGGCUUACCAAGGCUUUGACGGGUAGCCGGCCUGAGAGGGUGACCGGCCACAUUGGGACUGAGAUACGGCCCAGACUCCUACGGGAGGCAGCAGUGGGGAAUAUUGCACAAUGGGCGGAAGCCUGAUGCAGCAACGCCGCGUGCGGGAUGACGGCCUUCGGGUUGUAAACCGCUUUCGCCUGUGACGAAGCGUGAGUGACAGUAAUGGGUAAAGAAGCACCGGCUAACUACGUGCCAGCAGCCGCGGCGAUACGUAGGGUGCGAGCGUUGUCCGGAUUUAUUGGGCGUAAAGGGCUCGUAGGUGGUUGAUCGCGUCGGAAGUGUAAUCUUGGGGCUUAACCCUGAGCGUGCUUUCGAUACGGGUUGACUUGAGGAAGGUAGGGGAGAAUGGAAUUCCUGGUGGAGCGGUGGAAUGCGCAGAUAUCAGGAGGAACACCAGUGGCGAAGGCGGUUCUCUGGGCCUUUCCUGACGCUGAGGAGCGAAAGCGUGGGGAGCGAACAGGCUUAGAUACCCUGGUAGUCCACGCUGUAAACGGUGGGUACUAGGUGUGGGGUCCAUUCCACGGGUUCCGUGCCGUAGCUAACGCUUUAAGUACCCCGCCUGGGGAGUACGGCCGCAAGGCUAAAACUCAAAGGAAUUGACGGGGCCCCGCACAAGCGGCGGAGCAUGCGGAUUAAUUCGAUGCAACGCGUAGAACCUUACCUGGGUUUGACAUGGAUCGGGAGCGCUCAGAGAUGGGUGUGCCUCUUUUGGGGUCGGUUCACAGGUGGUGCAUGGCUGUCGUCAGCUCGUGUCGUGAGAUGUUGGGUUAAGUCCCGCAACGAGCGCAACCCUUGUUCACUGUUGCCAGCACGUUAUGGUGGGGACUCAGUGGAGACCGCCGGGGUCAACUCGGAGGAAGGUGGGGAUGACGUCAAGUCAUCAUGCCCCUUAUGUCCAGGGCUUCACGCAUGCUACAAUGGCUGGUACAGGGAGUGGCGAGCCUGUGAGGGUGAGCGAAUCUCGGAAAGCCGGUCUCAGUUCGGAUUGGGGUCUGCAACUCGACCUCAUGAAGUCGGAGUCGCUAGUAAUCGCAGAUCAGCAACGCUGCGGUGAAUACGUUCCCGGG
rnacentral:rRNA from 1 species